GUGAUGAAUAACCUAUCAAAUAAAUCACGGUUAGAACCUGAUUCAAUGUGAAGAUUUAUCUAGGGCGGACUGAUGUA